GAUGAACGCUGGCGGCGUGCUUAACACAUGCAAGUCGAACGAAGCACUUUUACAGAUUUCUUCGGAAUGAAGUUUUAGUGACUGAGUGGCGGACGGGUGAGUAACGCGUGGGUAACCUGCCUCACACAGGGGGAUAACAGUUGGAAACGACUGCUAAUACCGCAUCAGCGCACAGUACCGCAUGGUACGGUGUGAAAAACUCCGGUGGUGUGAGAUGGACCCGCGUCUGAUUAGCUAGUUGGCAGGGCAACGGCCUACCAAGGCGACGAUCAGUAGCCGGCCUGAGAGGGUGACCGGCCACAUUGGGACUGAGACACGGCCCAAACUCCUACGGGAGGCAGCAGUGGGGAAUAUUGCACAAUGGGGGAAACCCUGAUGCAGCGACGCCGCGUGAGCGAAGAAGUAUUUCGGUAUGUAAAGCUCUAUCAGCAGGGAAGAAGAAAUGACGGUACCUGACUAAGAAGCACCGGCUAAAUACGUGCCAGCAGCCGCAGUAA
rnacentral:rRNA from 1 species